AUACGUAGGUGACAAGCGUUAUCCGGAUUUACUGGGUGUAAAGGGCGUGUAGGCGGUUUAGCAAGUCAGAAGUGAAAUUCCCGGGCUUAACUUGGGCGCUGCUUCUGAAACUGCUUUACUUGAGUGCUGGAGAGGAUAGUGGAAUUCCUAGUGUAGCGGUAAAAUGCGCAGAUAUUAGGAGGAACACCGGUGGCGAAGGCGGCUAUCUGGACAGUAACUGACGCUGAGGCGCGAAAGCACGGGGAGCAAACAGGAUUAGAUACCCUGGUAGUCCGUGCCGUAAACGAUGAACACUAGGUGUAGGGGGUAUCGACUCCCUCUGUGCCGCAGUUAACACAUUAAGUAUUCCACCUGGGGAGUACGGCCGCAAGGUUGAAACUCAAAUGAAUUGGCGGGG
rnacentral:rRNA from 1 species